CAAGCUCGUGUCUGUGGGUC
rnacentral:ncRNA from 2 species